CCUACGGGUGGCAGCAGUGAGGAAUAUUGGUCAAUGGCCGGAAGGCUGAACCAGCCAUGCCGCGUGAAGGUCAGUGCCCUAUGGGCGUUAAACUUCUUUUGUGCGGGAGCAAUAAUGGUCAAGUGUGGACAGACGAGAGUUCCGUACGACUUAGCAUCGGCUAACUCCGUGCCAGCAGCCGCGCUUAUACGGGGGGUGCCAGCGUUAGGCGGAUUUUAUGGGUUUUAAGGGUGAGUAGGCUGUGAGUUAAGUCAGCGGUGGAAUGCCACCGCUCAACGGGGUGAAGUGCCAUUGAUACUGCUUUGCUGGAAUGCGGAUGCCGUGGGAGGAAUGUGUGGUGUAGCGGUGAAAUGCAUAGAUAUCACACAGAACACCGAUUGAGAAGGCAUCUCACGAAUCCGCGAUUGACGCUGAUGCACGAAAGCGUGGGUAUCAAACAGGAUUAGAUACCCUUGUAGUC
rnacentral:rRNA from 1 species